AUGUCAGUCAUGUGUGGAAGCAACAGAUUGUGUGUAGUUGGGUGUAGUUGUACAUGUAGGACCUGUAAUAUCCAAGCUUUCGCCAACAGCCUGAAUGGUGUAAUGAUUUCAUCGCCAUGCAAGCAAGAUGAGGAGGUACGGUGGAAAGGCUAUGAAGACCUAUGAAACUCUGUGGCCAUUGCAGACAGGUCAGCACACUCCUGUCCUAAUCACAUAGGUCCUAAAGCAAGCUAAGCCCAAUCUAGUGACAGCUGCCUCAAAACCAUCCAACACUGCUCAAAACAGACCCUGACAGUUUCCAGAGAGGUUGGACUUCGACUUGGUUUGUUUUCAAGGAAGCAUUUGUUUCAGGUAUAAAAUAGUAUAAAUUGUCGAUGUUUCAAAAUUAUUAGCUCACCAUCACUUUGUUCUCUACAAAUGUUUUGAUUGAUCAUUUUUCUUCUUGGUGGUGAAACACAAAUACGAACUGUCACAUUGUAAUAUUCUUACUACAGCUUGACAAUGAAAGGUACAAAAGAGAAAUAUUGUGUCUACAGGAAGUCAUAUAGACUAUAGCAAAGUGUCUCUCCUUCUUUCUGGGUCAAUCAAUGUUAACUGAGCCAUAAGCAAUAUUCUUCAGUUAUUGCUCUUACCAUUAACAUGUGUAAAAAGAAAUAUUUAAAGCUUGGAUAAAUAAAAUAUGUACACACAAACAGUCAAACUACUCUUAAGAUCACAUGAAGGGGUGCAUGGAAAAAGACCCUACGUAACAUCUGAUAGACUACAAGAUUCUCCAAGCAAAUUGCUUUUAGCUUCCUUCUGUGAAAGAAAGGAGAAUUUGACAUGAGGUCAAGAGUCACUUAAAGCUUUUUUCCAUGCACCCCUUCAUAUGAAAACCAUGACUGUUUCACACAAACAAAGAUAUUUGCGUAUGCAAUGUACGCUUUACACUAAUACAUCAAUCUGAUGAAUACGCCUGUACAGCAAGCAAGAAUGACAGUUGAAAUGAGUCUUGAAACAAAAACUGGGUAAAGCUUCCUUCAACUCCCACCAACAAUCAUUUUUUAUUAUUAUAGCACACAGUGAAACAUGCCAUGAGCAAGUGAGAGCAGUGAUCAGUUACUCAUUAAACAAACGAAAACUAUCCAUUGUAACUAACAUAAGCAAAUCAGAAUGGUUGAGAGUUGGCAGUGGAAUGGGUGCUGACGUGGAUUCUUGCUUAGCUGGUUUUAAGGUGGCUCCCUAUAGUUUUACGACUGCACGCGUGCUGAGGAUGACAGCUCAAGUAAUCUGCGUGCACUCAAAGGAAAAUGUCAGUGUUUUUCACUAUUUUACGCCAUCAACAUGAGCCGAAAAAGCAAAACUGACAGUGAAUUUUCUCGCAUUUCCUUAAGUAAAAUUUCGUAAAA